rnacentral:tRNA from 1 species
GGAGAGAUGGCUGAGUGGACUAAAGCGGCGGAU